GUAGGUAGAUCGGGGGCUGAGAGAAUGAGUAUUUAAAACGUAGACUGGAAACACUCUUUCUCUCGCCGUUAUAUAUUCACUUGGUCCUUUUGGGAAUUUCAUUGUAGGUUCCUAUUGAAGAAUAAGAAGGUUAUACUCUUCUCAGAAGAUAAAUUGUCACCCCGAUACUGGUUCAGAGCGUCAGCAGUGGCCUUCCACCACAUUUUCCGAAGUUGUGAAGGUGAAUAAUGGGCAGCCCCGACUGAGAGCAGGUAGCCGAGUGGAGAAAGGAAAAAGACCAGCACAGAGUUCAGAUCUUCCUCCCGUGCUCAGGAAUGGCCACCAACGCCACUGCAUGGGGCCUCCCCUUGUUUGCUUCUGGAAACCACAUGUGUACUCCGUAAGGGUUUGGCUGGGGUGGUUAGUUCCUCUUGCACAUUGUUUUUGUAGAACCUAAAGAAAUGCUACUUUCAAGGUUUAUCAAGGAUGUGUUUCAAAUAAAAAUGUCCUCCUCACAUUU